rnacentral:lncRNA from 1 species
UCUCUUUACUAGCUUCCCCCAGGAUCCAUCCAAGCUCUUCAGCAAAAUUAACAACUGAGUGAUACUAUGCUCUAAUGCUUCGUUGAGAAUCUUGCCAUGAUUCUCUGCUUCGAAAACACCCACGAGAUAGCGCUGUUGGAAGAGGUAAACAAUGUGAACUCCAAUACAUGUGAUUGUCUCAGUUUCAAGCCCAAUCCAUAUCAUAGUAAACAUUACGUUAGAUUCAUAACCAAUGACCAACACUUACAUGCAUUUAAAUUAAUCUCCUCCUGAUCCACAAAUUUGUUUUCUGUCAAGUUAGUUACGAAUUGACUUACUCUUUUAUUAAAAACACAUUUUUACUAUUAAAACCAAUUUAAAAUGCGGUGGGAUUUGAAUAGAUUUUCAAAUUUUGUGUGAUUUUUAGUUGAAAAAAUAAAUAAAUAGUUUCAGAAAAAAGAAACUUAAACUUUUUUUUUUGGUAACAAUGUUAAGAUUAAUUACCGAUUUUUCAAAUUUGUUACAGAAGGACAGAGGAAACUAGAAGCAGAGUAAUUGAAAGCAACUAAACAGACACUCAUACUAAGACUCACAAGGACAGACAUUAGAGACAACAGCUAACCGAGACACAGCAGAAUCGGACCUGACGCUUGCCGCAAAAGAGAGAACCACAGUUAAUACGAGAUUUUGAGUCCGGUAAUUUUGGCUUCCCCGAUGAACAGGUCUUUAAGAUUUAGCUCACCAAGAACAGCUUGCAACACACCUCAAUCUGCAACCAGUCAAGUCAGACCGCAAAACCCAUGGUCUAGAACACCGCUGAAGACGAAGGCUGAGCUUUAUUUGGGAAGAAGAACAACCAGGAAACGCCACACGCCUACGAACCUACACAAAAAAGACAGAGCUUUCUAAUACCAAGAAACUUAAACUUUCUAAUAACAGGUAAUACAUCACCCCCGC